rnacentral:rRNA from 1 species
GGGCCCGCACAAGCGGUGGAGUAUGUGGUUUAAUUCGAUGAUACGCGAGGAACCUUACCAGGGCUUAAAUGUAAAGCGAUCGGUUGAGAAAUCAGCCUUUCUUCGGACGAUUUACAAGGUGCUGCAUGGUUGUCGUCAGCUCGUGCCGUGAGGUGUCGGGUUAAGUCCCAUAACGAGCGCAACCCCUAUUUUUAGUUGCCAGCGAGUAAUGUCGGGAACUCUAAAAAGACUGCCUGUGCAAACAGAGAGGAAGGUGGGGAUGACGUCAAAUCAUCACGGCCCUUAUGUCUUGGGCUACACACGUGCUACAAUGGUUAUUACAAUGGGAAGCCAUCUGGUGACAGAGAGCAAAUCCAUAAAGGUAAUCUCAGUUCGGAUCGGAGUCUGCAACUCGACUCUGUGAAGUUGGAAUCGCUAGUAAUCG